CCUACGGGUGGCUGCAGUGGGGAAUAUUGGGCAAUGGGCGCAAGCCUGACCCAGCAACGCCGCGUGAAGGAAGAAGGCUUUCGGGUUGUAACCUUCUUUUAAGAGGGAAGAGAAGAAGACGGUACCUCUUGAAUAAGCCACGGCUAACUACGUGCCAGCAGCCGCGGGAAUACGUAGGUGGCAAGCGUUGUCCGGAUUUCCUGGGUGUAAAGGGCGUGCAGCCGGGCCGACAAGUCAACUGUGAAAUCCCGCGGCUCAACCGCGGAACUGCAUUUGAAACUGUCAGUCGUGAGUACCGGAGAGGUAAUCGGAAUGCCUGGUGUAGCGGUGAAAUGCGUAGAUAUAAGGAAGAACACCAGUUGCGAAGGCGGAUGACUGGACGGCAACUGACGGUGAGGCGCGAAAGCGUGGGGAGCAAACAGGAUUAGAUACCCCUGUAGUC
rnacentral:rRNA from 1 species